rnacentral:lncRNA from 1 species
AUGGGCAGUACCCAGUGAUAUUGGUGGGGAGAGGACGAAAAGAGGAGAAAGGUGGCCCCGCCCAUGCUCCCGCUCCCAACCCUCUGCCGCACUGCAGGUACGAACCAUAAUUGGGGAUCUGAGCUCACAGUGACGUAGCCCUUACGAGACCUAGAGCCGACGCUUGGUUUAUUCUCUCCUCCCAGUUGCGGUCAGGAGUCGUUUGUGGCUGUGCGCCGGCUCGCUGUUGCCUUGAAGGCGGGCAAGUCUUGGGAAGGAGGAAGUCGUAGGAGCUGACCCCGAUCCUUGGCAGGUCUUUAGGUCCGUUGGUACAGCAGAUUUCAAGGCUAAGAGAGGAGGACUGCUUCUGAUCCCUGCAGGAAGAAGCAGGAAAAAAAAAUCUC